rnacentral:rRNA from 1 species
GACGAACGCUGGCGGCGUGCUUAACACAUGCAAGUCGAACGGAAAGGCCCUGCUUUUGUGGGGUGCUCGAGUGGCGAACGGGUGAGUAACACGUGAGUAACCUGCCCUUGACUUUGGGAUAACUUCAGGAAACUGGGGCUAAUACCGGAUAGGAGCUCCUGCUGCAUGGUGGGGGUUGGAAAGUUUCGGCGGUUGGGGAUGGACUCGCGGGUUAUCAGCUUGUUGGUGGGGUAGUGGCUUACCAAGGCUUUGACGGGUAGCCGGCCUGAGUGGGUGACCGGCCACAUUGGGACUGAGAUACGGCCCAGACUCCUACGGGAGGCAGCAGUGGGGAAUAUUGCACAAUGGGCGGAAGCCUGAUGCAGCAACGCCGCGUGCGGGAUGACGGCCUUCGGGUUGUAAACCGCUUUCGCCUGUGACGAAGCGUGAGUGACGGUAAUGGGUAAAGAAGCACCGGCUAACUACGUG